rnacentral:rRNA from 1 species
AUGAAACGAUUCGUCGCCAUAGGAUGGGACUGCGGCCUAUCAGCUUGUUGGUGAGGUAAUGGCCCACCAAGGCGAUUACAGGUACGGGCUCUGAGAGGAGAAGCCCGGAGAUGGGUACUGAGACAAGGACCCAGGCCCUAUGGGGCGCAGCAGGCGAGAAAACUUUGCAAUGUGCGAAAGCACGACAAGGUUAAUCCGAGUGAUUUCUGCUAAAGAAAUCUUUUGCAAGUCAUAAAACCACUAGUGAAUAAGGGGUGGGCAAGUUCUGGUGUCAGCCGCCGCGGUAAAACCAGCACCUCAAGUGGUCAGGAGGAUUAUUGGGCCUAAAGCAUCCGUAGCCGGCUCUGUAAGUUUUCGGUUAAAUCCAUGUGCUCAACGCAUGGGCUGCCGAAAAUACUGCAUAGCUAGGGAGUGGGAGAGGUAGACGGUACUCGGUAGGAAGGGGUAAAAUCCUUUGAUCUAUCGAUGACCACCUGUGGCGAAGGCGGUCUACCAGAACACGUUCGACGGUGAGGGAUGAAAGCUGGGGGAGCAAACCGGAUUAGAUACCCGGGUAGUCCCAGCUGUAAACGAUGCAGACUCGAUGAUGCAUUGGCAUAUAGCCAGUGCAGUGUCGCAGGGAAGCCGUUAAGUCUGCCGCCUGGGAAGUACGUACGCAAGUAUGAAACUUAAAGGAAUUGGCGGGGGAGCACCACAAGGGGUGAAGCCUGCGGUUCAAUUGGAGUCAACGCCGGA